rnacentral:tRNA from 1 species
AUCUGAGUGCUGGAAUUGGUAGACAGAGGGCACUUAAAAUGCCCCGAUUAAAUCGUAGGUGUUCAAGUCACCUCUCAGAUA